AAGGAGCACCACGAGACUUGGCCCCGCCCACAUCGUGUGGGGGUUCGGUGAGUUGAGCGAUUCGUGAAGAUGGCCUGUCUCUGUAGUGGGGGCGGGUCUGGUGCACAACAAACGUGUGUUGGCCGGAGGGAAACCGGUUGAUGCGAAGGAUUGCCAGACACACUGUUGGGUCCUGAGGCAACACCCCCGCGGGCUCACUCCCUUGUGGGGGUGGGUGCCGGCUCUCGAGCGUUGGUUCGGGGGUUUGUGUUGCUGCCCUGCUUUGGUGGUGGGGUGUGGUGUUUGAUUUGUGGAUAGAGGUUGCGAGCAUCUA
rnacentral:misc_RNA from 1 species